rnacentral:tRNA from 1 species
GCGCCCGUAGCUCAGUUGGAUAGAGUGGCAGACUUCGAAUCUGAAGGUCGGGGGUUCGAAUCCCUCCGGGCGCGCCA